GGGGCUUUGUGGUCCGGCACGAAACUGGCGGCCAUGCGGGGCUGCACCACGUUCCCGUCUUUCCCGAAGGCCGGGAUCUGCAGGGGAAGGCUGAUGACCCCCACCAGGUCGUCCAGCGGCACCAGGGAGCGCAGGAUGGCGCGGAUCCGCAGCGCUUCGCCCUUCCCCGCCUGGAUCAGGUGCAUUUCGGGGGCGCAGCGGCCCAGCAGGUCGAUGA
rnacentral:lncRNA from 1 species